rnacentral:lncRNA from 1 species
AUCCAUAGGAUAAGGGCAGGACAGCGAGGCCCCAAGUGCCUCCUGGCUGCAAUAUGCUGUGAUGAGGGUGGAGGGUGGGGUGGGGAGGGGCUCGCUCUGCCUUCCUUGCCUUCCUGUCUGUUUCUCUGUCAUUAGUUUAUCUCCAGCAAUCCAGGCCUCUCUGUCUCAGUCUGUUGCUCUCUCUGUUUCCAUCUUUUGCUCUGUAUUUUUCUGCCCGCCUCUCUUCUUUUUCUGUCUGAGUGCACCUCUGAUUUUAUCUCCUCCUCUGUCACACAGCCCCCUUCCCUCAGUCCUACACUGCCUUUCUCCCAUUCUCCGUAGUUAUCAGCGUUUCGCUGUCUAGUUUUCUCUGUCUCUCGGGCUCGCUCUCUCUCUCUUUCUCUCUCUCUGUCCUGCCCGGGCUCUCUCGCGGCCGCCCCUCCCGUCCCCUCCGCCAGCCCCCCUCCUCCCUCCUCGGCGCGUCUCCCCAGUCCUUAUUUGGCUGGG